AACAUCGCGCACCUGCGGGAACCUGCGGAAGGAUCAUUACCGAGUUAGGGUCUUCCUGGCCCGACCUCCAACCCUUUGUUUACUAUACCCAUGUUGCUUUGGCGGGCCUGCCUUUCGGGGCUGCCGGGGGCAUCACUACCCUUGACCUGUGCCUGCCAGGAGCCUUCUUUAAAUUCUGUGUUCAACUGUGUUGUCUGAGUCCCAAUAUCAAAAUAUAAAAAACUUUCAACAACGGAUCUC
rnacentral:misc_RNA from 1 species